GGACGAACGCUGGCGGCGUGCCUAAUACAUGCAAGUAGAACGCUGAAGAGAGGAGCUUGCUCUUCUUGGAUGAGUUGCGAACGGGUGAGUAACGCGUAGGUAACCUGCCUUGUAGCGGGGGAUAACUAUUGGAAACGAUAGCUAAUACCGCAUAACAAUGGAUGACACAUGUCAUUUAUUUGAAAGGGGCAAUUGCUCCACUACAAGAUGGACCUGCGUUGUAUUAGCUAGUAGGUGAGGUAACGGCUCACCUAGGCGACGAUACAUAGCCGACCUGAGAGGGUGAUCGGCCACACUGGGACUGAGACACGGCCCAGACUCCAACGGGAGGCAGCAGUAGGGAAUCUUCGGCAAUGGGGGCAACCCUGACCGAGCAACGCCGCGUGAGUGAAGAAGGUUUUCGGAUCGUAAAGCUCUGUUGUAAGCCAAGAACGAGUGUGAGAGUGGAAAGUUCACACUGUGACGGUAGCUUACCAGAAAGGGACGGCUAACUACGUGCCAGCAGCCGCGGUAAU
rnacentral:rRNA from 1 species